CAGGUGAUCAGGUAGAGAAUACCAAGGCGCUUGAGAGAACUUGGGUGAAGGAACUAGGCAAAAUGGUACCGUAACUUCGGGAGAAGGUACGCUCCUUUUGGUGAUCGGACUUGCUCCGUAAGCUGAGGGGAGUCGAAGUGACCAGGUGGCUGCAACUGUUUACUAAAAACAUAGCACUCUGCAAACUCGUGAGAGGAAGUAUAGGGUGUGACGCCUGCCCGGUGCCGGAAGGUUAAGUGAUGGGGUUAGCUUCGGCGAAGCUCUUGAUCGAAGCCCCGGUAAACGGCGGCCGUAACAAUAACGGUCCUAAGGUAGCGAAAUUCCUUGUCGGGUAAGUUCCGACCUGCACGAAUGGCGUAACGACUUCCCCACUGUCUCCAGGAUAUGCUCAGCGAAAUUGAAUUCUCCGUGAAGAUGCGGAGUACCCGCGGUUAGACGGAAAGACCCCGUGCACCUUUACUGCAGCUUCAGAGUGGCAUUAGGAAAGAGUUGUGUAGCAUAGGUGGGAGGCUUUGAAUCUUGGGCGCCAGUCCAAGGGGAGCCAUAGGUGAAAUACCACCCUGCUGUUUUCUGAUGUCUAACCAACUACCGUUAUCCGGUAGUGGGACCCUCUGUGGCGGGUAGUUUGACUGGGGCGGUCGCCUCCUAAAGAGUAACGGAGGCGCGCGAUGGUAGGCUCAGGCCGGUUGGAAACCGGCUGCGAGAGUGCAAUGGCAUAAGCCUGCCUGACUGCGAGGCCGACGGGCCGAGCAGAGACGAAAGUCGGUCAUAGUGAUCCGGUGGUCCCGAGUGGAAGGGCCAUCGCUCAACGGAUAAAAGGUACGCCGGGGAUAACAGGCUGAUACUCCCCAAGAGUCCACAUCGACGGGAGUGUUUGGCACCUCGAUGUCGGCUGAUCACAUCCUGGGGCUGGA
rnacentral:rRNA from 1 species